CGCGUAUGCAAUCUACCUUUUACAGAGGGAUAGCCCAGAGAAAUUUGGAUUAAUACCUCAUAGUAUAGUAUAACCGCAUGGUUGAACUAUUAAAGUCACAACGGUAAAAGAUGAGCAUGCCUCCCAUUAGCUUGUUGGUAAGGUAACGGCUUACCAAGGCAACGAUGGGUAGGGGUCCUGAGAGGGAGAUCCCCCACACUGGUACUGAGACACGGACCACACUCCUACGGGAGGCAGCAGUGAGGAAUAUUGGUCAAUGGGCGCAAGCCUGAACCAGCCAUGCCGCGUGCAGGAUGAAGCAUCUAUGGUGUGUAAACUGCUUUUGUACGAGAAGAAACACUCCUUCGUGAAGGAGCUUGACGGUAUCGUAAGAAUAAGGACCGGCUAACUCCGUGCCAGCAGCCGCGGUAAUACGGAGGGUCCAAGCGUUAUCCGGAAUCAUUGGGUUUAAAGGGUCCGUAUGCGGUUUAGUAAGUCAGUGGUGAAAGCCCAUCGCUCAACGGUGGAACGGCCAUUGAUACUGCUAAACUUGAAUUAUUUAGGAAGUAACUAGAAUAUGUAGUGUAGCGGUGAAAUGCUUAGAGAUUACAUGGAAUACCAAUUGCGAAGGCAGGUUACUACUAAUGGAUUGA
rnacentral:rRNA from 1 species